UGUAGACCCUGCGGGCUCUGGGUCGGGGUCCAGGUGUCCCGCUCCCCGCAGGGCCCAGGAUGGGUGGGGUCUCCAGUUAGUGCGGUUUGGAGCUCCCUUUUUUAAGAAGAAUGCGAAAUUAGAUACGAAGGGCCAGCAGGAUGAGGCAAGGUUUUCAUCUUGGUCCUCGGUGUUUCAAUCCAAAGGCUCAGAGAAGUUUUCUGCCUGGGCCAAUGGACAGUAACUGAUUGGAAUAUAAUCAUUCACUCAUUAUGUCACUUUCCAAAACUUACUCUGCAUCAGGCCAGUGCUAAUCAGGAGCUCCACCUCCAAGCUCAGAAUCCUGUUGGAAUAAUGUGUAUAAUGACUGUCCCAGACUGCGAGCUGAGAACCAGGAAUCAACCAAGCACAACUGUGCUGGUAACUUGUAAAUUCCUGCACCUGGAACAUCUGGCUCUGAAGAUACCACACUCCCAGCUUUGCUCUAUUUGAAUGACCUUUCUGUGGAAACUCAAAACACUUUCCACAAAAUGCUGGUACGAGGAAGCACAGAAGGGCUUAAGAGAGCCUGCACCACCUCCCUGGAAUCCGGGAGGCACCCCUGUCCCACUGUGCUCACCCCCUCCAUUUGUUUCUUACUUGCCUGUUAAAGGCGCUUGUGU